GUAAGGAAUAUUGGACAAUGGGGGCAACCCUGAUCCAGCCAUGCCGCGUGCAGGAUGAAAGUGCUCAGCACUGUAAACUGCUUUUGUUUGGGAAAAAUUCCCUGGUUUCUACCGGGGUUGAUUGUACCAAGAGAAUAAGGGACGGCUAACUUCGUGCCAGCAGCCGCGGUAAUACGAAGGUCCCAAGCGUUAUCCGGAUUUAUUGGGUUUAAAGGGUGCGUAGGCGGACUAUUAAGUCAGUGGUGAAAUCCUGCAGCCUAACUGUAGAAUUGCCAUUGAUACUGAUGGUCUUGAGUACAUUUGAAGUGGGCGGAAUGUGUCAUGUAGCGGUGAAAUGCUUAGAUAUGACACAGAACACCGAUUGCGUAGGCAGCUCGCUAAACUGUAACUGACGCUGAGGCACGAAAGCGUGGGGAGCAAACAGGAUUAGAUACCCUUGUAGUCC
rnacentral:rRNA from 1 species